UCCUCUUUUCUCCUAGAUACUAGUAUUGAGAAUUUCCUUCCGAUCAUAGUUUUUGACGUCGGUGAGUCAAAGCUCCACCUACGUUGAAAAUUUUGCUUUUUUCAGCUCUCUAGAUCUCCUAUCUUCUUCUUUUUUUUUGUUAACAAAUCUUUUUCUCUUUUUGAAUCCCUUUCAAACCUUCCUGAAACUAAAGCAUCUGAGAUUAUCAAUAACUAGACUCAAAAGGAGACAAUGGUGUUCGGCGAUCUCCAUCUCUCGUCCUCAACUUGCUCUCAUAUCGACCAAUUAUCUCUGGUUCUUCUCCCCUGCCUCGAAUCUUGUCCAAAACCACCAAACACGAACCCUAGCUUCGCCAGAGAUGUGUGCUGCACCACAAUAUUUUCUAUCAUCUCCGUACGAUGGCUG